UUUAGAAUUAAUCCAUUCCUGUCUCCUGGCAACCACUUACCAUUAUAUCUACAGCCAAGACAGCAAGUAAACAUCCGCUGUAAAAAUGCAAAAACUCUGAAGCAUCAAGAACCGUUUUCUGCUGAGGCUGCUAGAUAGAUUCUACCUUGCAAAUCCAACCCUGAAAAUCACAGUUACUCAGACAAAAUAUGGCAAGAGACUUGCACUUCCAUCAGCAGCUCAAAUGUCACUAAAGCCUGUUACUUUCAUGUGCUGAAGCAGUAAAACAGAUAAGAAAGGAACUUACAUAAAUUCUGCUCCCUUUGUCUUUCUACUUGUGGUACCUGCCUAUAUGUUCUUGCCGUGGCCUCAAAUAUGCAAAAGUCUCUCUGUCAUUGGACUUCUGAGCACAAAAAAAAAAAAAGAGGUAACAUUCAGUCUGAGGGGAAAAUAAACACAGAAAGAGAAGGAACUGUUGAUCUUGGUAAUUUUGGAAGAGUGUGAGUGACAAACAGCAAGAAUCAGAACAGGUGUUUCUGGGUGUGUGAGCUGUACAACUGCAGUCUUUCUUUAGCAGCACAUCCAUCAGGGGCACAUUUACCGUAA